GUGAAAUUGUUGAAAGGGAAGCGCUUGCAACCAGACCUGCCUGCAGUUGCUCAUCCGGGCUUUUGCCCGGUGCACUCUUCUGCUGUCAGGCCAGCAUCAGUUCGGGCGGUCGGAUAAAGGCUUCGGGAAUGUAGCUCCUCUCGAGGAGUGUUAUAGCCCGUUGCGAAAUGCGGCCAGCCUGAACUGAGGUCCGCGCUUCGGCUAGGAUGCUGGCGUAAUGGUUGUAAGCGGCCCGUCUUGAAACACGGACCAAGGAGUCUAACAUCUGUGCGAGUGUUUGGGUGUCAAACCCGUACGCGUAAUGAAAGUGAACGGAGGCGGGAACCCCUCGGGGUGCACCGUCGACCGAUCCUGAUGUCUUCGGAUGGAUUUGAGUAAGAGCAUAGCUGUUGGGACCCGAAAGAUGGUGAACUAUGCCUGAAUAGGGUGAAGCCAGAGGAAACUCUGGUGGAGGCUCGCAGCGGUUCUGACGUGCAAAUCGAUCGUCAAAUUUGGGCAUAGGGGCGAAAGACUAAU
rnacentral:rRNA from 1 species